GGCCAUCUUGGAGGUGAAAAAUUUUAAUGAAUCAACUGCCAUGUUUGCUUUGAAAAGGAGACUCUGGAGCAACCGUCUGAUUUUUUCUCUGAAUAAUAAUUUUUCGGAUAUCUAUGAUGAAAUGCUCGAUCAGGUACGUAAAUACAUCCAGACCGAGGAGCAAGAGGCUAUCUUAAGGUAGGCAAAGAAGGACAAGAAUGAAAAAAAAGGGCCA
rnacentral:lncRNA from 1 species